rnacentral:rRNA from 1 species
AUACGUAGGUGACAAGCGUUAUCCGGAUUUACUGGGUGUAAAGGGCGUGUAGGCGGAGAUGCAAGUCAGGAGUGAAAUCUAGGGGCUCAACCCCUAAACUGCUUUUGAAACUGUAUCCCUUGAGUAUCGGAGAGGCAGGCGGAAUUCCUAGUGUAGCGGUGAAAUGCGUAGAUAUUAGGAGGAACACCAGUGGCGAAGGCGGCCUGCUGGACGACAACUGACGCUGAGGCGCGAAAGCGUGGGGAGCAAACAGGAUUAGAUACCCUGGUAGUCCACGCUGUAAACGAUGAUUACUAGGUGUGGGGGGACUGACCCUUUCCGUGCCGCAGUUAACACAAUAAGUAAUCCACCUGGGGAGUACGGCCGCAAGGUUGAAACUCAAAUGAAUUGGCGGGG